CUGGCUCAGAUUGAACGCUGGCGGAAUGCUUUACACAUGCAAGUCGGGCGGCAGCGCGGGGGCAACCCUGGCGGCGAGCGGCGAACGGGUGAGUAAUACAUCGGAACGUACCCAGUCGUGGGGGAUAGCCCGGCGAAAGCCGGAUUAAUACCGCAUACGCCCUGAGGGGGAAAGCGGGGGACCGGAAACGGCCUCGCGCGAUUGGAGCGGCCGAUGGCGGAUUAGCUAGUUGGUGGGGUAAAGGCCUACCAAGGCGACGAUCCGUAGCUGGUCUGAGAGGAUGAUCAGCCACACUGGAACUGAGACACGGUCCAGACUCCUACGGGAGGCAGCAGUGGGGAAUUUUGGACAAUGGGCGCAAGCCUGAUCCAGCCAUUCCGCGUGAGUGAAGAAGGCCUUCGGGUUGUAAAGCUCUUUCGGC
rnacentral:rRNA from 1 species